AUGAUUUUCCUCCCGCAGUCACCCCUCCCACGCUCCCGUGCAGUCAGUUCCACAAUGGUGCAGCUCCACACGCGGGCAGAGAGGGGAGGACGCGGCCGCCGGCAAGGGCGUGGGUCGAGCAGGCAAACGCAUCCCGGAGGGAAGCCCCGGCUGGGCUGGAGAAGCGGCCUGGCUUCCGCACGGCCAUUGUUCUUUCCGGGAACGGGACGUCGCGUAUCCCUCGUCCCUGUCCGCCAGGCGGGGCGGGCUCCCCGCUCUCCUGCGCGCCCCCGCUUCCCGCAGGGCUUCGCUCCUUUAGAAGGUCCCGCUGCUUUCCCGGGACCACAGCGGGGCAGGAGCACCGUGUCCCCUCUCUCCCGAGGGGCGUCGCUCACACAACCUCGCACCUCGCCCCUCCUGCCGCCCUUCCGUGUCUCGCAGGGAUCCCCGAGACAGCGCCUCAGGAUCGCGGGCGGGAUGGGGAGGGGACCAGAGGCGCGCCCCCCUGGCAGUGCGGCCGGGAAGAGCGAGCAGCUGCUGCCGGGAUUCUCCCGGGGAGACGGGGGGAGCCCCGCAGGGAUGGCGGGACCGACCUCGCCACCUCCGCCUGCUACCUGCUCCCCCUCCCCCAGCGGGUCGGAGGUUGCCGUGGCGACGGAUCAACACCAUCCCCCGGGACAGGGCUCCUCGGGAGCCGCAGGCACAACGCGGUCCGCACCCGCCUCCCAUGGGGAUCCCCGUCCCGCCCCUCCCGCGGCGGCAGCGCGGCCGCCCCCGCGCAGCGACGUCAGCCCCGACGGGCUUUCCUGCCCCGGCGGUGCCCGGCCACCGCCAUCGGCCACCGCCAUCGGCCACCGCCAUCGGCCACCGCCAUCGGCCACCGCCAUCGGCCACCGCCAUCGGCCACCGCCAUCGGCNCGCCAUCGGCCACCGCCAUCGGCCACCGCCAUCGGCCACCGCCAUCGGCCACCGCCAUCGGCCACCGCCAUCGGCCACCGCCAUCGGCCACCGCCCGGGCACCCGCACCGGGGCCGCCGUGUGCCGUGCCCGCCGCCACCUCCGCGUCCCCCGUGCAGGCAAAGCUGCACCCAUUUAAGCUAA
rnacentral:lncRNA from 1 species